GACGAACGCUGGCGGCGUGCUUAACACAUGCAAGUCGAACGGAAAGGCCCUGCUUUUGUGGGGUGCUCGAGUGGCGAACGGGUGAGUGACACGUGAGUAACCUGCCCUUGACUUUGGGAUAACUUCAGGAAACUGGGGCUAAUACCGGAUAGGAGCUCCUGCUGCAUGGUGGGGGUUGGAAAGUUUCGGCGGUUGGGAUGGACUCGCGGCUUAUCAGCUUGUUGGUGGGGUAGUGGCUUACCAAGGCUUUGACGGGUAGCCGGCCUGAGAGGGUGACCGGCCACAUUGGGACUGAGAUACGGCCCAGACUCCUACGGGAGGCAGCAGUGGGGAAUAUUGCACAAUGGGCGGAAGCCUGAUGCAGCAACGCCGCGUGCGGGAUGACGGCCUUCGGGUUGUAAACCGCUUUCGCCUGUGACGAAGCGUGAGUGACGGUAAUGGGUAAAGAAGCACCGGCUAACUACGUG
rnacentral:rRNA from 1 species